GGUCCAGACUCCUACGGGAGGCAGCAGUGGGGGAUAUUGCACAAUGGGGGGAACCCUGAUGCAGCGACGCCGCGUGGGUGAAGGAGCGUUUCGGCGCGUAAAGCCCUGUCAGCAGGGAAGAAAAUGACGGUACCUGAAGAAGAAGCCCCGGCUAACUACGUGCCAGCAGCCGCGGUAAUACGUAGGGGGCAAGCGUUAUCCGGAUUUACUGGGUGUAAAGGGGGCGCAGACGGCGAUGCAAGCCAGGAGUGAAAGCCCGGGGCCCAACCCCGGGACUGCUCUUGGAACUGCGUGGCUGGAGUGCAGGAGGGGCAGGCGGAAUUCCUGGUGUAGCGGUGAAAUGCGUAGAUAUCAGGAGGAACACCGGUGGCGAAGGCGGCCUGCUGGACUGCAACUGACGUUGGGGCCCGAAAGCGUGGGGAGCAAACAGGAUUAGAUACCCGCGUAGAA
rnacentral:rRNA from 1 species